GUCGAGAGGCUUCGGCAAUGGGGGAAACCCUGACCGAGCGACGCCGCGUGGGCGAUGAAGGCCGUUAGGUUGUAAAGCCCUGUCGAGUGGGAAGAAUUGCAGGAGGGCGAACAGCCCUUCUGUUUGACGGUACCGCUAAAGGAAGCUCCGGCCAACUCCGUGCCAGCAGCCGCGGUAAUACGGGGGGAGCAAACGUUGUUCGGAAUCACUGGGCGUAAAGGGCGUGCAGGCGGUCCGGUAAGAGGGAUGUGAAAUGCCCUGGCUCAACCAGGGAACUGCAUCUUUGACUGCCGGACUUGAGCAUGGGAGAGGAUGCGGGAAUUCCCGGUGUAGCGGUGAAAUGCAUUGAUAUCGGGAGGAACACCAGUGGCGAAGGCGCGCAUCUGGCCCAUUGCUGACGCUCAGGCGCGAAAGCUAGGGGAGCAAACAGGAUUAGAAACCCCAGUAGUCC
rnacentral:rRNA from 1 species